rnacentral:rRNA from 1 species
AUUGAACGCUGGCGGAAUGCUUUACACAUGCAAGUCGAACGGUAGAGGGGGCAACCCCUCGAGAGUGGCGAACGGGUGAGUAAUAUAUCGGAACGUGCCCAGUCGUGGGGGAUAACGUAGCGAAAGUUACGCUAAUACCGCAUACGAUCUACGGAUGAAAGCGGGGGAUCGCAAGACCUCGCGCGAUUGGAGCGGCCGAUAUCAGAUUAGGUAGUUGGUGGGGUAAAGGCCCACCAAGCCAACGAUCUGUAGCUGGUCCGAGAGGACGACCAGCCACACUGGAACUGAGACACGGUCCAGACUCCUACGGGAGGCAGCAGUGGGGAAUUUUGGACAAUGGGCGAAAGCCUGAUCCAGCCAUUCCGCGUGCAGGAUGAAGGCCCUCGGGUUGUAAACUGCUUUUGUACAGAACGAAAAGGUUUCUACUAAUACUAGGAGCUCAUGACGGUACUGUAAGAAUAAGCACCGGCUAACUACGUGCCAGCAGCCGCCGUAA